rnacentral:rRNA from 1 species
GGGUUGUGAGGUUAAGCGACUAAGCGUACACGGUGGAUGCCCUGGCAGUCAGAGGCGAUGAAGGACGUGCUAAUCUGCGAUAAGCGUCGGUAAGGUGAUAUGAACCGUUAUAACCGGCGAUUUCCGAAUGGGGAAACCCAGUGUGUUUCGACACACUAUCAUUAACUGAAUCCAUAGGUUAAUGAGGCGAACCGGGGGAACUGAAACAUCUAAGUACCCCGAGGAAAAGAAAUCAACCGAGAUUCCCCCAGUAGCGGCGAGCGAACGGGGAGGAGCCCAGAGCCUGAAUCAGUGUGUGUGUUAGUGGAAGCGUCUGGAAAGGCGCGCGAUACAGGGUGACAGCCCCGUACACAAAAAUGCACAUGCUGUGAGCUCGAUGAGUAGGGCGGGACACGUGGUAUCCUGUCUGAAUAUGGGGGGACCAUCCUCCAAGGCUAAAUACUCCUGACUGACCGAUAGUGAACCAGUACCGUGAGGGAAAGGCGAAAAGAACCCCGGCGAGGGGAGUGAAAAAGAACCUGAAACCGUGUACGUACAAGCAGUGGGAGCCUCUUUAUGGGGUGACUGCGUACCUUUUGUAUAAUGGGUCAGCGACUUAUAUUCUGUAGCAAGGUUAACCGAAUAGGGGAGCCGAAGGGAAACCGAGUCUUAACUGGGCGUUAAGUUGCAGGGUAUAGACCCGAAACCCGGUGAUCUAGCCAUGGGCAGGUUGAAGGUUGGGUAACACUAACUGGAGGACCGAACCGACUAAUGUUGAAAAAUUAGCGGAUGACUUGUGGCUGGGGGUGAAAGGCCAAUCAAACCGGGAGAUAGCUGGUUCUCCCCGAAAGCUAUUUAGGUAGCGCCUCGUGAAUUCAUCUCCGGGGGUAGAGCACUGUUUCGGCAAGGGGGUCAUCCCGACUUACCAACCCGAUGCAAACUGCGAAUACCGGAGAAUGUUAUCACGGGAGACACACGGCGGGUGCUAACGUCCGUCGUGAAGAGGGAAACAACCCAGACCGCCAGCUAAGGUCCCAAAGUCAUGGUUAAGUGGGAAACGAUGUGGGAAGGCCCAGACAGCCAGGAUGUUGGCUUAGAAGCAGCCAUCAUUUAAAGAAAGCGUAAUAGCUCACUGGUCGAGUCGGCCUGCGCGGAAGAUGUAACGGGGCUAAACCAUGCACCGAAGCUGCGGCAGCGACGCUUAUGCGUUGUUGGGUAGGGGAGCGUUCUGUAAGCCUGCGAAGGUGUACUGUGAGGUAUGCUGGAGGUAUCAGAAGUGCGAAUGCUGACAUAAGUAACGAUAAAGCGGGUGAAAAGCCCGCUCGCCGGAAGACCAAGGGUUCCUGUCCAACGUUAAUCGGGGCAGGGUGAGUCGACCCCUAAGGCGAGGCCGAAAGGCGUAGUCGAUGGGAAACAGGUUAAUAUUCCUGUACUUGGUGUUACUGCGAAGGGGGGACGGAGAAGGCUAUGUUGGCCGGGCGACGGUUGUCCCGGUUUAAGCGUGUAGGCUGGUUUUCCAGGCAAAUCCGGAAAAUCAAGGCUGAGGCGUGAUGACGAGGCACUACGGUGCUGAAGCAACAAAUGCCCUGCUUCCAGGAAAAGCCUCUAAGCAUCAGGUAACAUCAAAUCGUACCCCAAACCGACACAGGUGGUCAGGUAGAGAAUACCAAGGCGCUUGAGAGAACUCGGGUGAAGGAACUAGGCAAAAUGGUGCCGUAACUUCGGGAGAAGGCACGCUGAUAUGUAGGUGAAGCGACUUGCUCGUGGAGCUGAAAUCAGUCGAAGAUACCAGCUGGCUGCAACUGUUUAUUAAAAACACAGCACUGUGCAAACACGAAAGUGGACGUAUACGGUGUGACGCCUGCCCGGUGCCGGAAGGUUAAUUGAUGGGGUUAGCGGUAACGCGAAGCUCUUGAUCGAAGCCCCGGUAAACGGCGGCCGUAACUAUAACGGUCCUAAGGUAGCGAAAUUCCUUGUCGGGUAAGUUCCGACCUGCACGAAUGGCGUAAUGAUGGCCAGGCUGUCUCCACCCGAGACUCAGUGAAAUUGAACUCGCUGUGAAGAUGCAGUGUACCCGCGGCAAGACGGAAAGACCCCGUGAACCUUUACUAUAGCUUGACACUGAACAUUGAGCCUUGAUGUGUAGGAUAGGUGGGAGGCUUUGAAGUGUGGACGCCAGUCUGCAUGGAGCCGACCUUGAAAUACCACCCUUUAAUGUUUGAUGUUCUAACGUUGGCCCCUAAUCGGGGUUGCGGACAGUGUCUGGUGGGUAGUUUGACUGGGGCGGUCUCCUCCUAAAGAGUAACGGAGGAGCACGAAGGUUGGCUAAUCCUGGUCGGACAUCAGGAGGUUAGUGCAAUGGCAUAAGCCAGCUUGACUGCGAGCGUGACGGCGCGAGCAGGUGCGAAAGCAGGUCAUAGUGAUCCGGUGGUUCUGAAUGGAAGGGCCAUCGCUCAACGGAUAAAAGGUACUCCGGGGAUAACAGGCUGAUACCGCCCAAGAGUUCAUAUCGACGGCGGUGUUUGGCACCUCGAUGUCGGCUCAUCACAUCCUGGGGCUGAAGUAGGUCCCAAGGGUAUGGCUGUUCGCCAUUUAAAGUGGUACGCGAGCUGGGUUUAGAACGUCGUGAGACAGUUCGGUCCCUAUCUGCCGUGGGCGCUGGAGAACUGAGGGGGGCUGCUCCUAGUACGAGAGGACCGGAGUGGACGCAUCACUGGUGUUCGGGUUGUCAUGCCAAUGGCACUGCCCGGUAGCUAAAUGCGGAAGAGAUAAGUGCUGAAAGCAUCUAAGCACGAAACUUGCCCCGAGAUGAGUUCUCCCUGACUCCCUGAGAGUCCUGAAGGAACGUUGAAGACGACGACGUUGAUAGGCCGGGUGUGUAAGCGCAGCGAUGCGUUGAGCUAACCGGUACUAAUGAACCGUGAGGCUUAACCUUACAACGCCGAAG